ACGCACGCUGGCGGCGUGCUUAACACAUGCCAGUCGAACGGAAAGGCCCUGCUUGCAGGGUACUCGAGUGGCGAACGGGUGGGUAACACGUGGGUGAUCUGCCCUGCACUUCGGGAUAAGCCUGGGAAACUGGGUCUAAUACCGGAUAGGAGCCAUUUUUAGUGUGUUGGUUGGAAAGUUUUUUCGGUGUAGGAUGAGCUCGCGGCCUAUCAGCUUGUUGGUGGGGUAAUGGCCUACCAAGGCGGGGCCGGGUAGCCGGGCUGGGAGGGUGGACUGCCACAUUGGGGCUGAGAUACGGCCCAGACUCCUACGGGAGGCAGCAGUGGGGAAUAUUGCACAAUGGGCGCAAGCCUGAUGCAGCGAAGCCGCGUGGGGGAUGACGGCCUUCGGGUUGUAAAAUCCGUUCGCUAGGGACGAAGCUUUUUGUGACGGUACCUAGAUAAGAAGCACCGGCUAACUACGUG
rnacentral:rRNA from 1 species